rnacentral:tRNA from 1 species
UGCCUCGUAGUGCCUGGUGGAUAGCACGCAGGACUCGUAAUUCUGUGGCGCGGGUUCGAUUCCCGCACGAGGCAG